AUUUCUAUUUAUAUAGUUUAAAUAAAACAUUACAUUUUCAUUGUAAAAUUAAAUGACAUUUUUAUAA
rnacentral:tRNA from 1 species